CGCUUCGGUGGUGGAUGAGUGGCGAACGGGUGAGUAACACGUGGGCAAUCUGCCCUGUACUUCGGGAUAAGCCCUGGAAACGGGGUCUAAUACCGGAUAGGACACUGUCUCGCAUGGGGUGGUGUGGAAAGCUUCGGCGGUACGGGAUGAGCCCGCGGCCUAUCAGCUUGUUGGUGGGGUGAUGGCCUACCAAGGCGACGACGGGUAGCCGGCCUGAGAGGGUGACCGGCCACACUGGGACUGAGACACGGCCCAGACUCCUACGGGAGGCAGCAGUGGGGAAUAUUGCACAAUGGGCGGAAGCCUGAUGCAGCGACGCCGCGUGAGGGAUGACGGCCUUCGGGUUGUAAACCUCUUUCGCCCGGGACGAAGCGUAAUAGUGACGGUACCGGGAGAAGAAGCACCGGCUAACUACGUGCCAGCAGCCGCGGUAAUACGUAGGGUGCGAGCGUUGUCCGGAAUUAUUGGGCGUAAAGAGCUCGUAGGCGGUGUGUCACGUCUGCCGUGAAAACCUGCGGCUUAACCGUGGGCGUGCGGUGGAUACGGGCAUCACUUG
rnacentral:rRNA from 2 species